UUAAUUGAAACCAAAAAGAGGUAAAUUAUUGUUAAUAAUUUUAUUGAAUAAAUAUUCCAAUUAAA
rnacentral:tRNA from 1 species